AUUUUAUUAAUAUUUCAAAAUUUGACUGCAUUUUUGAUCAAAUAAAUACAGCCUUGGUGUGCAUGAAAGACUGCUUUAAAAACAUAAAAAAAAAAAAAAAAAAAUCAACCCCAAACCCUUUUGUUUGUUUCUGAGUCAUGAAAAGUCAUGACAGGCUGUAAAUAAUAUUUUCUUUUCAGUAACUUUGCCUGCAUUAGGAUGAUGAUAUCAAUGAUUUAAUUUCAGGCGUAAUCACUGGAUGUACUUUCAAUUAAAAGGGGCUACGUGGUUCAGCAAAUUGCACAAAUGUUCACUUUGUAGUACAAUGAGAAGUAUUCAUUAAUAAGUAGCAUGACACGACACCUGAUUCGUCCGUAGUAAAAGGUGGAAAUGGACAUUGUAUCACUGUCUGACAUCAAGACAGAAAAAUAUUCUUUAAGCUCAAGUGCUGUUUAAGACUGAUAUGAAAGCACAUAUGCAGGGUACAGAGAUAGUGUAGUCAUUAAAUUAAUGCAGAUGGGAACAUCCUACAGGUCAAAGGUUACACUCAAAAAAAUGCUGGGUUGUUUCUGUAAACAAAUUGUUGGGUUGAUUGUGCUGGGUCAAAAAGUUGGGUUGUUUGGGGUACUGUAAACACAUUAUUGGGUUGCUCAUGCUGGGUAAAAUGAUUUGUAACGGGGUCAUUCACAAAUAAACAGUUGGUUUGGUUAUUUUGACCCAGCAACUGGUUUAUUACUUCAUUCUUUGCGGAACUUUCUGGAUUCUUCACUUCUGACUGGAGGGGGCACGCACUCGGAGCGCGCAUUGUUUUAUGCUGCUAAAGAGGAGACAGCUUUGAAGGUCCUGCCAACUCUGCUUCCCCCAUCCAUCUACAGGAGAGGAGGAAAGGUCUUCAGACCCACCACAGAGGAGGCCCAGAAGUCAUUUAUUGACAUGCAACCUGUUGGGACCAUGAGAUGACUGGAGCAUUGCU
rnacentral:lncRNA from 1 species